UUUUUUUUUUUUUUUUUUAAUUUUUUUUGUACUUUUUGUUGCAUCGUGAACACAUUUAUUGUUACCAGUGGACAAUGAGUUCAUUAAGACUGUUCAACUAGAUCAGAUUUUUACAUCUCUUUCUAGCAAGAAGAGACAAGGUUUUGUGCAUUUGUACAAAUGUUAAUAAUAUCACUGCAAUUCCAAUAAUAAAGCACUCAAAGUCAAAUAA